GUGGGGAAUAUUGGACAAUGGGGGGAACCCUGAUCCAGCCAUGCCGCGUGUGUGAAGAAGGCCUUUUGGUUGUAAAGCACUUUAAGCGAGGAGGAGGCUACCGAGAUUAAUACUCUUGGAUAGUGGACGUUACUCGCAGAAUAAGCACCGGCUAACUCUGUGCCAGCAGCCGCGGUAAUACAGAGGGUGCAAGCGUUAAUCGGAUUUACUGGGCGUAAUGCGCGCGUAGGUGGCCAAUUAAGUCAAAUGUGAAAUCCCCGAGCUUAACUUGGGAAUUGCAGUCGAUACUGGUUGGCUAGAGUAUGAGAGAGGAUGGUAGAAUUCCGGGUGGAGCGGUGAAAUGCGUAGAGAUCUGGAGGAAUACCGAUGGCGAAGGCAGCCAUCUGGCCUAAUACUGACACUGAGGUGCGAAAGCAUGGGGAGCAAAUAGGAUUAGAAACCCCGGUAGUCC
rnacentral:rRNA from 1 species